rnacentral:rRNA from 1 species
UAGCCUACGGGGGGCAGCAGUGGGGAAUAUUGCACAAUGGGGGAAACCCUGAUGCAGCGACGCCGCGUGAGCGAUGAAGUAUUUCGGUAUGUAAAGCUCUAUCAGCAGGGAAGAAAAUGACGGUACCUGACUAAGAAGCCCCGGCUAACUACGUGCCAGCAGCCGCGGUAAUACGUAGGGGGCAAGCGUUAUCCGGAUUUACUGGGUGUAAAGGGAGCGUAGACGGCCAUUCAAGCCAGAUGUGAAAGCCCGGGGCUCAACCCCGGGACUGCAUUUGGCACUGUAUGGCUGGAGUGUCGGAGAGG